UGGGAAGUAUUGCACAAUGGGCGCAAGCCUGAUGCAGCCAUGCCGCGUGUAUGAAGAAGGCCUUCGGGUUGUAAAGUACUUUCAGCGAGGAGGAAGGUGUUGUGGUUAAUAACCGCAGCAAUUGACGUUACUCGCAGAAGAAGCACCGGCUAACUCCGUGCCAGCAGCCGCGGUAAUACGGAGGGUGCAAGCGUUAAUCGGAAUUACUGGGCGUAAAGCGCACGCAGGCGGUCUGUCAAGUCGGAUGUGAAAUCCCCGGGCUCAACCUGGGAACUGCAUCCGAAACUGGCAGGCUAGAGUCUUGUAGA
rnacentral:rRNA from 1 species